rnacentral:rRNA from 1 species
CAAAAUCUCAACUUUAUUAGAAGAGACGCAUUUAUUAGAUAAAAAGCCAGUUCAUGCUUUUACAGUAUGAAAAUUGGUGAUUUAUAAUAACUUAGCAAAUCGCAAAGUGAAAACAGGCGAUAAAUCAUUCAAGUUUCUGACCUAUCAGCUUUCGACGGUAUGGUAUUGGCUUACCGUGGCAGUGACGGUUAACGGGGGAUUAGGGUUCGAUUCCGGAGAGGGAGCCUGAGAAACGGCUACCACAUCUAAGGAAGGCAGCAGGCGCGCAAAUUACCCAAUUCUAACAGUUUGAGAGAGGUAGUAACAAGAAAUAACAAUACAAGGCAGUUAAAAUGCUUUGUAAUUGGAAUGAUAGAAAUUUAAACCCUUUUUAAAGUAUCAAUUGGAGGGCAAGUCUGGUGCCAGCAGCCGCGGUAAUUCCAGCUCCAAUAGCGUAUAUUAAAAUUGUUGCAGUUAAAAAGCUCGUAGUUGAAGUUCUGCUGAAAGUAACCGGUCUGCUUUUAAUAAAAGUGGUAUCUUGGUAUGUAUUUAGCAAUGAUGUCCUUUGAAGUGUUUUUUACUUUAUUGUAAUAAAGCAUAUUCAGGACUUUUACUUUGAGAAAAUUAGAGUGUUUCUAGCAGGCUGACGCUUUGAAUACUGCAGCAUGGAAUAAUAAG